rnacentral:rRNA from 1 species
AGUGAACGCUGGCGGUAGGCCUAACACAUGCAAGUCGAACGGCAGCACAGUAAGAGCUUGCUCUUACGGGUGGCGAGUGGCGGACGGGUGAGGAAUACAUCGGAAUCUACUUUUUCGUGGGGGAUAACGUAGGGAAUCUUACGCUAAUACCGCAUACGACCUACGGGUGAAAGCAGGGGAUCUUCGGACCUUGCGCGAUUGAAUGAGCCGAUGUCGGAUUAGCUAGUUGGCGGGGUAAAGGCCCACCAAGACGACGAUCCGUAGCUGGUCUGAGAGGAUGAUCAGCCACACUGGAACUGAGACACGGUCCAGACUCCUACGGGAGGCAGCAGUGGGGAAUAUUGGACAAUGGGCGCAAGCCUGAUCCAGCCAUACCGCGUGGGUGAAGAAGGCCUUCGGGUUGUAAAGCCCUUUUGUUGGGAAAGAAAAGCAGCAGGUUAAUACCCCGCUGUUCUGACGGUACCCAAAGAAUAAGCACCGGCUAACUUCGUG